AAGAAAGUGACCUACAGAGAGCUCUUGCGUUAAGUUUGUCCAGCGAAGGACACGACUCUGGAGGUCCCAGCACAUCAAAAGAGGAGUUAAGUGAAGAUGACCAGCUCCAAGCUGCCCUUAGAAUGAGCCUUGAUCAGAAAACUCCAGAGGAAGAGGCACCUAGUCCUGACAAGGAGCCAGAUCUUCAAGAAAUACGAGAAAAACGCUUGGCUUUCCUGUCAAAGAAGGCCCCUUGACCUCUAGAUUUGAUAAGGUUAUAUGCUUUAAAGCAAGAUUGUGAUAUAUAUAAUAUAUUGAUUUCAGUAACUGCCACAAAAGUGUCCUUUGAAAUAGCAUUAUUUGUACUUUCAUUUGAAUCUUCACAUCACAGUAAUUAAGGUAAAUUGUAUGUUUAGUUUUUUCAGUUUUCUUUCAGAUAUAUUUUUUUCUUGUAACAGAGAUAUUGUUAUACUAUGUCUUUUUGAAUAUAAGGGUUUAUAAGUGCCUUCUUUGAUGUUGCAUAAUACUAAAGCCAGUAACUUCAGGAUAACCAGACUGAUUAGAUAGUGAUAGAUAAAUACUGUCUUUUCCCAUAGAGGACAAACCUUUCUUAAGCAAAACCCUUCAGGUUUUUGCUUGUUUUUUGUACUAUCAGCAUCUGUAUUUUUUCUGCUUGAUUGCCUGCACAUAUCUUUUCAUGCCUGUAUGAAAUAUGUCCCAGUAAUAAUAGAAAAUAAUGUUAUGUUACAUAUUUACAUGUAGGUGUAGAAAUAAGCAAUGCAGAAUUUACAAGGCUAUAGUGGAUACCAACAACUCUAGAGCGAGGAUGAGCUACUUGAACAAAAGUGAAUCACUAUGAGCUAUAUGGACUUUACUUGUGGUGCAAGAAAUUUCCAUGAAACAUUUGUUUCAAAAACUUUGGUUGAGUUCCAUUGAAUAUACUAUGUCCUUUUUGUAUAGGUUUAUAAGAGAUAAACAUUCUGCCAGUUAUCAUCAUGCUGUAUUAGUUCAGAUACCAUGUGAGUGGUUGUAAUUUUUAGGCGCUGAUCUCUUCUAACUUUCUCUAGUAUGUCGAUCAUAAAUGGUUUUGUCUCAUUUUCCUUCUGUGGAGUUAGACUUGAUUUGAGUUCUCUCUAUACUUCACUCUUGAAAACUUUCCUGUCUGGUAAACAUCCUCAUCUCUGCCAUUUCUUCCUCUGUAGCUUUCUUCAUUUCCCAGUGGUUUGAUAGACCCAAGCAUUUAUCUCAAAUUCUUCCAAUACAUUUUCCAUUGUCUUCACUCCAGGAUGUGUGUUAAGGUACUUUGGUUGUUUUACUGUAUCCAUUACAGUCAGCAUCUCUCAUGUUGUAAUUUUUAUUAUAAAUAAUUAUUGAUUCUUUGAUUGUCACUUUUAUGUAGUAAUACAAAUGCUGUAAUUUUGUUUUUCCACUAUUGUAUCACCCUUUCCAAGACUGUUACCUUUUAGUUUUGUGUACCUUUGUCUUCAGUUUUUUAGUAUCAUAUAAACAUAUGAUAAUUCCUUGGUUAUUUGUAAUAUACUGUUUCCAGCCUAAAGUGACAUACAUGUGUUACUUGUCUUUUCAGGUUUUUCUUUUUUUGGGGGGGUUCAAAGUACAUCUCCAGAAGUUAAUGGAAAAGCAUGUGAGAGGUAAGUUUUUUAUUGACUGAUGAUCUGUGUACAGUAGUAAGUACUGUAUUAGAGGAGGAACUUUGUAAUAAGUAUUAUAAGAGGAAGUAAUACUUUUGAAACUUGUUUCAAGUAUAUAUUAGUACUACAGGUACUUGAUAAGUCAAACUAUGUUGGGUUGUAGUUUGUCUAUCUUAUCCAAAUUAGUAACUAUAAUCUCUCUAGGAUACAUGAUGAGAAAGUUGUUCCUAAAUUUAGUCAUCAGUAGCCUAGGUGUUUGACGCCAGUUUUAGUACAUAUUUGUAAUCAAUCAACCAAUCCUAAACUUAGUGGUUUCCUAAAUUUAUUGAAGAUUCUGGUCUUCAGGAAAUAUACUCUAAUGCCAUUACUAGUUUCUUGGGUGUGACGGGUAAGCCAGCUCAACUCAAUGCCAGUUCCAAGUAUGGAUGCGUGAGGAAAGUGGAGUCAGGAGUGGCAUCCUUCUGUAAAAUAUUUACCAAUACCAGUUAUGAAAUCUUCUGAUCUCCUGACAUAAGCAAGGAGCAAAUACAGUCCUGCUUUCUGCUGACAUUUUGCAAAUUCAUACUUAUAAUUUAUCACCUUUUCCUAUAGCUUUUUUCUCCGCAGGCUGAUUUCCCUUUGGAGCCCUAUUGGAUUUAUAGUCUAUUGACUCUCUCCAUAAGGGUUUUCAGCUAAAGAUUUAAAGAAAGGAAUCAAUUGUCCCUUAAGUCAUGGGGUACCUACUUGUUACUCAGCAUUACGGUACUCCACAGGUUAUUCUGCCAGUUUUUAUGAUGCAUAUUUUUUUUUUGCAGUUUUGGAAAAUAACACACACAAUUAGCAUUGGAUAACUUAGUUGAGAAACAGUAUGAUUACAGAUGCAAAGAAAAUCGCACUACCAUAUAGGAGUAUCAACUUACAUUUUGUUAUUAAUGAGACACUUGUAGUGUUCUUUCAAGAGGCUUAUAUAGUUGAAGAAAUUUUUUUUACAUUAUUCAGUAUCUUAUGUUCUGAAGUUUACGUCUGUUUCUGAAAGAGUAGAUUGUAAGAAGGUUACAGGUAGAAGUUUGUCACAAAAGUUUAAAAACAGAAUUUUGUAUUUACAUUUUUAUGUAACUGCUGUAUUUUUGAGUUAUGUUUUUGCUUUCAUCUUCUGUGUUAUGGAUUUAACAUAAGUAAAUCAAUUAUCUGUAUUGGAUAAAUCUAAACAGUGGAGGUACAAGUACGCAAUCUCUUACCUGAAAAUAGGAAGUCGCAACCGAAAGUUUUUUCACUUAAUGUAUGCACAAUAAAUCUCUGUAUGUUUAUUGAAUGUUUUACUUAGAAAUAAAAGUUAAGCUAGUAA